GUUUCUGUAGUGUAGUGGUCAUCAUGUUCGCUUUACACGUGAAAGGUCCCCAGUUUAAAACUGGGUGGAAACA